rnacentral:misc_RNA from 1 species
ACAAAUCUACUAUAUGGCGGGCUUCGGUCCGUGCAUAUAUAUAUACCCCGAGCCUGGCAGCAAUGCCGGGCUUUGGUUGGGCGGGUGCGCAAGCAUUCCGUUCGGCUUGUGUUGUGCGUUGGGGCCCUUGGGUCCUGGCUGUGCGGCACGGCCACAUAGACGCUUGUAUGUUUGACAGAGUUUACAGUUGUAAAACUAAAAUGA